GAUGAACGCUGGCGGCGUGCUUAACACAUGCAAGUCGAACGGUGAACGAGGGAGCUUGCUCCCUCCGGAUCAGUGGCGAACGGGUGAGUAACACGUGAGCAAUCUGCCCCUGACUCUGGGAUAAGCGCUGGAAACGGCGUCUAAUACCGGAUACGAGCUGCGAAGGCAUCUUCAGCAGCUGGAAAGAACUUCGGUCAGGGAUGAGCUCGCGGCCUAUCAGCUAGUUGGUGAGGUAAUGGCUCACCAAGGCGUCGACGGGUAGCCGGCCUGAGAGGGUGACCGGCCACACUGGGACUGAGACACGGCCCAGACUCCUACGGGAGGCAGCAGUGGGGAAUAUUGCACAAUGGGCGCAAGCCUGAUGCAGCAACGCCGCGUGAGGGACGACGGCCUUCGGGUUGUAAACCUCUUUUAGCAGGGAAGAAGCGAAAGUGACGGUACCUGCAGAAAAAGCACCGGCUAACUACGUGCCAGCCGCCGCAGUAAAAC
rnacentral:rRNA from 1 species